GACGAACGCUGGCGGCGUGCCUAAUACAUGCAAGUAGGACGCAGUUGCGAACGGGUGAGUAACGCGUAGGUAACUACCUAUUAGAGGGGGAUAACUAUUGGAAAAGAUAGCUAAUACCGCAUACUAGUAGAUGGACCUGCGUUGUAUUAGCGAGUAGGUAGGGUAAUGGCCUAACUAGGCAACGAUGCAUAGCCGACCUUGUGGGGUUGUCGGCCACACUGGGACGUGGACCCGGCCCAGACGCCUACGGGAGGCAGCAGUAGGGAAUCUUCGGCAAUGGGGGGAACCCGUACCGAGCAACGCCGCGUGAGUGAAGAAGGUUUUCGGAUCGUAAAGCUCUGUUGUUAAGGAAGCGGUACUUAACCAGAAAGGGACGGCUAACUACGUGCCAGCAGCCGCGGUAAUUC
rnacentral:rRNA from 1 species